GGAGGGGUGGCAGAGUGGUUGAAUGCACCGGUCUUGAAAACCGGCGUGGGUUUAUAGCCCACCGUGGGUUCAAAUCCCACCUCCUCCGCCA
rnacentral:tRNA from 4 species